AAUAUCUUCAAAUCUGGUUCACCCUUUUGUAAAUUUGGUACCACUGUUCUCCUCUUCAACUUCUUUUAUCAUCAUCUUGUAACACAUGAAGUUUUGGUGGAGAAAAGCCACUGCAAAGUUAUCGACUUAAUUUAGCGUUAACUGCGUGGAUCUGACUGGUUUCGAACACAUUGAAAGUGAAAAAGGAAGAGACUGAGAAGAAACUAGAGGUUAGAGAAUGUGUUCAAGCUCAAAUUAGGAGGAAAUAAUGCAUUUACAGAUGAUCUUCAGAUUUUCAAGAUCCGUCACUGAAGACCAACAGGUUUAGUUAAACAUGUUUACAUAUUCAACUUAAAGCUGACCCGAACCAGUUUACACUAAACCUAAACCCGUUGAAUUUCAUGUCGUGUGAGAAGUCAGGAAACAGUGAUUUUCCAAACAACUCUAAGUGGCCGGCCCACAUAAAACCAGUCAGAAAUCGUAUGGUCUGAGAUUAAUGGACGGUCCAGACGCUGCAAAACGUAACGCGCCCUGGGGUCAAAUGCGCCGGAAAAAGGUCACAUAAAGAUAUGGAGCACAUUUAAAAACGAAAAAAACAAUGUUUUAUAACCGAUGUUUUACCAGGGCGAGUUAAAAUUAGGAUCAAUGAUAAAGUAAUGCUAUCGAAAAUUAUUGUUGGAGUUUGAAGUUGCGGGAUGAUGAUUAGGUUGCUUUGAAUCUGCGGUAUAGUGUAGCGAGUUUUCGGAUUAGUCCAUGGGAGUUUAUUCUCGUCUUGUUUCCAAGAUCUUCUUCUUUGUUUUGGUUUGCGUGGUUUGUUUUUGUGUGUUUCUCUUUUCUAGUCGUGUACUUGCAUUUGGAUCGUUUUUUUAGGUUGUUUGUAUUGUUGUGUCGUCCUAAC